rnacentral:rRNA from 1 species
GCAUUUAUUAGAUAAAAAGCCAGUUCAUGCUUUUACAGUAUGAUAAUUGGUGAUUUAUAAUAACUUAGCAAAUCGCAAAGUGAAAACAGGCGAUAAAUCAUUCAAGUUUCUGACCUAUCAGCUUUCGACGGUAUGGUAUUGGCUUACCGUGGCAGUGACGGUUAACGGGGGAUUAGGGUUCGAUUCCGGAGAGGGAGCCUGAGAAACGGCUACCACAUCUAAGGAAGGCAGCAGGCGCGCAAAUUACCCAAUUCUAACAGUUUGAGAGAGGUAGUAACAAGAAAUAACAAUACAAGGCAGUUAAAAUGCUUUGUAAUUGGAAUGAUAGAAAUUUAAACCCUUUUUAAAGUAUCAAUUGGAGGGCAAGUCUGGUGCCAGCAGCCGCGGUAAUUCCAGCUCCAAUAGCGUAUAUUAAAAUUGUUGCAGUUAAAAAGCUCGUAGUUGAAGUUCUGCUGAAAGUAACCGGUCUGCUUUUAAUAAAAGUGGUAUCUUGGUAUGUAUUUAGCAAUGAUGUCCUUUGAAGUGUUUUUUACUUUAUUGUAAUAAAGCAUAUUCAGGACUUUUACUUUGAGAAAAUUAGAGUGUUUCUAGCAGGCUGACGCUUUGAAUACUGCAGCAG